GACGGAGGGUGCUAGCGUUGUUCGGAAUUACUGGGCGUAAAGGGCGCGUAGGCGGCCGCUCAAGUCGGGUGUGAAAGCCCGGGGCUCAACCCCGGAACUGCACUCGAGACUGGGUGGCUGGAGAUCGGAAGAGGAGAGUGGAACACCCAGUGUAGAGGUGAAAUUCGUAGAUAUUGGGUAGAACACCGGUGGCGAAAGCGGCUCUCUGGUCCGAUUCUGACGCUGAGGAGCGAAAGCGUGGGGAGCGAACAGG
rnacentral:rRNA from 1 species